AUUGAACGCUGGCGGCAUGCCUUACACAUGCAAGUCGAACGGCAGCACGGGAGCAAUCCUGGUGGCGAGUGGCGAACGGGUGAGUAAUAUAUCGGAACGUGCCCGGUCGUGGGGAUAACGUAGCGAAAGUUACGCUAAUACCGCAUACGAUCUAAGGAUGAAAGCGGGGGAUCGCAAGACCUGCGCGAUUGGAGCGGCCGAUAUCAGAUUAGGUAGUUGGUGGGGUAAAGGCUCACCAAGCCAACGAUCUGUAGCUGGUCUGAGAGGAUGAUCAGUCACACUGGAACUGAGACACGGUCCAGACUCCUACGGAGGCAGCAGUGGGGAAUAAUUGGACAAUGGGCGAAAGCCUGAUCAGCCAUGCGCGUGUGUGAAGAAAGGUCUUCGGAUUGUAAAGCACUUAAG
rnacentral:rRNA from 1 species